AUUGAACGCUGGCGGCAGGCCUAACACAUGCAAGUCGAGCGGGGUUUUCGGACCUAGCGGCGGACGGGUGAGUAAUGCGUAGGAAGCUGCCCGAUAGAGGGGGAUACCAGUUGGAAACGACUGUUAAUACCGCAUAAUGUCUACGGACCAAAGUGUGGGACCUUCGGGCCACAUGCUAUCGGAUGCGCCUACGUGGGAUUAGCUAGUUGGUGAGGUAAUGGCUCACCAAGGCGACGAUCUCUAGCUGGUUUGAGAGGAUGAUCAGCCACACUGGAACUGAGACACGGUCCAGACUCCUACGGGAGGCAGCAGUGGGGAAUAUUGGACAAGGGGAGCAAGCCUGAUCCAGCCAUGCCGCGUGGGGGAAGAAGGCCUUCGGGUUGUAAAGCACUUUCAGCGAGGAGGAAGGGUGGUGUGUUAAUAGCACAUCAUUUUGACGUUACUCGCAGAAGAAGCACCGGCUAACUCUGUGCCAGCCGCCGCCGUAAUAC
rnacentral:rRNA from 1 species